CUCUCGGCAACGGAUAUCUAGGCUCUCGCAUCGAUGAAGAACGUAGCGAAAUGCGAUACUUGGUGUGAAUUGCAGAAUCCCGCGAAUCAUCGAGUUUUUGAACGCAAGUUGCGCCCGAAGCCCCUCGGGGCCGAGGGCACGUCUGCCUGGGCGUCACGCACCGUCGCC
rnacentral:rRNA from 1 species